UACGUAGGGUGCAAGCGUUAUCCGGAAUUAUUGGGCGUAAAGAGCUUGUAGGCGGUUUGUCGCGUCUGCUGUGAAAACUGGAGGCUCAACCUCCAGCCUGCAGUGGGUACGGGCAAACUAGAGUGCGGUAGGGGAGAUUGGAAUUCCUGGUGUAGCGGUGGAAUGCGCAGAUAUCAGGAGGAACACCGAUGGCGAAGGCAGAUCUCUGGGCCGUAACUGACGCUGAGGAGCGAAAGCAUGGGGAGCGAACAGG
rnacentral:rRNA from 1 species